CUCAUUUUCUCUUCCUGCGGUCAGGUGAGGAGAGUUCUUCGCCUCGCGCCAGGAUUCUGAGGCCUCCCCAGCCAUGUGGAACUCAAUAUCCGGAGAGAGAGAGAGAGAUUCCUGUAGAAUACAAGACAAGACUAUCACAAUGAGCUGAAAUGUUGGGUCUGUGAAAGUAAUGAGAAGCACAGUGGAAAUAAGUUUCUGAAGGAUGGAAGAGGCUGGAGGCUGGCUAGUGGGAGAAGGUUCCCAGACACGUGAGAGACCCAGCAACAGAUUAAAAUCAUCCUUACCUGACAAGAGGACUCAGUGAAUCAAUGUUGUGCAGGAAGCAUGGCACCAGCGUCUGCUUUGGGAUGCAGCAGGAAGAUGUUGUCUAUGACGUCAGAGCCCUCACCAGACACUUAAUUUGAUGGCAACUUGAUCUUGGACUUCUCAGUCUCCAGAACUUGAUAAGAAGGAGAUUACUGCUGCCCACGGGGAAAAAGGAGAACAGAAAUGGGAAAGCCGUAUUGAGAGGAUGUUUGAGAACUGUGAAAGACAGAAAGCAGACCAGAUUGCCAUGCCUAAACCACUUUCUUUGAAGUUUAUGGAAGCACCACUGCAUUUAUGCCAGAAGCCCCAGCUCCGGACUCUGUUUUAACGGUCUAUCCAGGCAUGAAUUCUACUCAAGUGGCCUGCCCCUCAGCAGAAGUUGGACAGGUGCUUAUGUUGCAAUUAACAAAAAGGAUACAUGCUGGGUCCUGCAGUAAAUGUCUCCCUUGGAUCAUGAAGUCUUUUUACCAUGUUACUGGAACACAGAAGGGUACUAUUGAGAACCAACUAACUUGGAGCCGUGUAUGAGCCACUGGGAAUAGACUAAAUGAGAUAAUCAACGUCUUGAUCUCAUAUUCUUUCAUUCUACAGAAGGAAGCAGGCAACAGGUUGCAAUACGAAGUGGAGUUAAAGCAACUAGAAGGAAGUGUCAGUAACCAAGCUGAGAGAGGCUGGAAGGAAAACAAUUCAUGCAGCAGAAAAGAAAGCCUUUUGAGCACUGUGAUGUCAGAAGGUGACUUGGAAGAUGAUCUAAAUGUUAAACUGGCAGUGAAGAGUGCCACAUCAUUGUUAUUCCCCCAAGAUCCUGGAUUCCAGACAGCCCAGUGGAGCACCAUAGAAAGAACUUUCAGGAAGCAGAGAAUGGUUCAGGGAUUCUGAUUUUCCUGAACUUCCUCCUCCCUAUCCACCUCCAAUUAGGAAAAAAGAAGAAAAAAAAGAUUAAACACGUCCAGAAUGUUAAAAAUCCAGUAGGGAUUUUAAAUGUUCACUAUUACAGCACAUACAUUUAUACACAAGGAGGUCUGAAGGCUUUCUGGUUUCAAUUAAGAUUAUUAUCUCCUUUGAGUGAUGGUUUCUCCUUUUUUCCCCCAGAAUUCCCUUUGGCUGAUCUAUUUUAAAAGAGUAUGAGCUAGGGAUAACUAGGCUUAUUUGUAUUGAGUCUACUUUCCCCUCCAGGUCUCUUUGUCUUAAAUUCUGAAGUCCCUUUUCCUAUCCUGCUAAAGGUUAGCAGCUUGAAAUCAAGGACAUGAGUCAUUGUUACUUUUCAUGUGGAAGAUAAGCUCUGUGGCUUUUAUAGCAAAAAGUAUAUACAAUUCUAAAAUUAAAGUGCAAGUCAGAAAGGCCAUUGGGGCUGUGAAAAGUCCUUAUCUAAAUCAGAAGACCAAGGUCAAGUUUGUAUCAUGCCUAUUAGUACAUGGGUUUCAUUGGUUAAGUUACCAAACCUCUGAGCCUCAGUUUCCUUAUCAGUCAAAUGAGUGCAAUAAUUCCCGCCCUAUCAUCUGACAAAUUAUUGAGAAAUUCUAAUUACAUGCCUAUAAUUUUCAGGUCUUUGUUUUUCAGGUCUUUGUUAAGCAUCAUGCACAUAAACGUUUGUAUUACACUUUCUUUAGCAGUAUUUGAACAUGGUACCUUAUUCAAUGUUCUGAAACAAAUCAUGAAUACUUCCUGGUGUGGUGAUAAUAUCUUCAUAAACUUGUGACACCCGAUGGAAUGUGAGUCGGUUUUGUAAUAGCCUUUAAAAACUUCCCUCAAUACAUAAUAAAGAAUGGUAAAAAAUUUUGGUUGAGGAAACUAAUGAUACAUCCAAAAUAACACAUUCAGUUUUCCAGUGAAGAAUAUUCUCAAAGUAAAAUGCUGUUUAGACUUACUUAAAGGUUCUUAAAACAAGUUAUACAAAGGGAUAGUAUUGAAAUCCAUCUUUUAAUAGAUAUAUACUAGUAAUUAUGUUGAAGACCCAGGAAAAUACUAUUAAUAGGUGUGAAAUUUAAAUCACACUAAUUAGUACUUUAAAAUAUUAUUCCUUCACGUUAUUUUAAAGAAGCUUUUCCUACAUGUGUGACCUAUUCUGUCAAACACAGCCAUGAAUAUCUAGUAUACUAAAUUGGUCCUAUUCUGACUCCAAUUUUCAAACACUUUUAACAUAGGACUAUAGAGUUCAUAUUUACAAAGUGUGUGCAUGCCUAUGUGUAUCACUAAUAUGUAGUAUAUGCAUACUAAAUAUGCACAUGGGUAUUUCAAACUCUGUUGGCUUGACUCUAAAUGUUCAGCUAUCGAUGUUAUUCUUGGUAUUUAGAGGUUUUAUUUAUAUAUUUAUCUUUCUUGACUUUCCCACUGGGAGGUGUCUUCUGAUAUUUCAGCCUCUAGCAUCUCAGUCCCAUACAUUCAGCCCUCACUGGGAAGUUUAAUUCCAGGUUACUAAUUUCAGAGCAUCCCAAAGAUGCUGUUUAGCUAGGUAGUGCCUUAAUAUAUCUUAGAAUUAAAAGAAAAUACUUUCUGUCUCUCAGGGCAUUUGAAAGCUCAAACUCUCCUCUUUGAACUUCCCUCUCUCAUUAUAUUGCCAUCACAAAUCUUUGUCCAUCACUAGGUGGUACAACUCCCCCUCCCCUCACCUGCCUCACACACAUAUGACCUACAGUGGAAAACUGAGCUCCAGAUGGUUCAUGGACUUGCCCAAAGUCACCUGUACCAUUGCUGACUUGGAACUUGAAUGUCCAAGCCUUCUAAAUCCUCAUCUGCAUUUUUCACAUUAGAGAAUUUUGAUCUCUGACUUCCAACAGUUAUUUCAGGAGAGGAAAAUGCAUGGCUUCACUAUCCAAUGGACUAAAAAAUUGAGUAAGGGAUAGAACAUAUUUUACACUCCAACUUGAAAACUUGUCGUAAUGAUGCUCUUCCAGCAUGAAGAAAUUAAAAUUGGCCUUCCUCUUCGUUCUCCUGAAUUGUUCACUGUAACUGAGUGGAGAUAUUUUAGGAGGGUUCUUACUGUGGCUUCUGAAGACCUUUUUCAGAAUAAGGUCUUUUUUUCAAAAACACCACACAAAAUACAAUACAAAAAUACAAUACAAAAAUUUUCAAAAAUACAGUAUUAGUUUGAAGCUUGGUAAGUUUUGACUAUUGCCUAUACCUAUGUAACUGCUACCUAAAACAAGAUAUAGAAAUAUUCUAACUUCCCAGAGAGAUUCUUCAUGCCCCUUUCAUUCAGUGUCAUCCCAGACCCCACAAAGGCAAUUCCUUCUGAUGGUAUGUAUGUAUUCUUUAGUGUCUGAUAUUUUUUAGAUUUAUUUAUAUUGUCAUAUGUAUCAGUAGGCCAUUCAUUUUUGUUGUUGAUGAAUAUUUCAUUGUGUGAAUAUGCUGCAAUUUGUUGAUUCAAAUACCUCCUGAUAGUUGUUUUCCGUUUGGGGCUGUUAAGAAUAAGGCUUCCAUAAACUUUCUUGCCUAA